rnacentral:rRNA from 1 species
UACGGAGGGUGCGAGCGUUGUCCGGAAUUAUUGGGCGUAAAGAGCUCGUAGGCGGUCUGUCGCGUCGGCUGUGAAAACCCGGAGCUCAACUCCGGGCCUGCAGUCGAUACGGGCAGACUGGAGUUCGGCAGGGGAGACUGGAAUUCCUGGUGUAGCGGUGAAAUGCGCAGAUAUCAGGAGGAACACCGGUGGCGAAGGCGGGUCUCUGGGCCGAUACUGACGCUGAGGAGCGAAAGCGUGGGGAGCGAACAGG